rnacentral:rRNA from 1 species
UACGGAAGGCAGCGGUGGGGAAUAUUGCACAAUGGGCGAAAGCCUGAUGCAGCUAUGCCGCGUGUAUGAAGAAGGCCUUAGGGUUGUAAAGUACUUUCAUCGGGGAGGAAAAAACAAACUAAUAAUUUAUUUCUUGACGUUACCCGAAAAAGAAGCACCGGCUAACUCCGUGCCAGCAGCCGCGGUAAUACGGAGGGUGCUAGCGUUAAUCAGAAUUACUGGGCGUAAAGAGCACGUAGGUGGUUUUUUUAAAGUCAGAUGUGAAAUCCCUGGGCUUAACCUAGGAACUGCAUUUUGAAACUGAAAUACUAGAGUAUCGUAGAGGGAGGUAGAAUUCUAGGUGUAGCGGUGAAAUGCGUAGAUAUCUGGAGGAAUACCUGUGGCGAAAGCGGCCUCCUAAACGAAUACUGACACUGAGGGUGCGAAAGCGUGGGGAGCAAACAGGGAUUUAGAUACC